UUGUCCAGGCAAAUCCGGAUAAUCAAGGCUGAGGUGUGAUGACGAGGCACUACGGUGCUGAAGUAACAAAUGCCCUGCUUCCAGGAAAAGCCUCUAAGCAUCAGGUAACAUUAAAUCGUACCCCAAACCGACACAGGUGGUCAGGUAGAGAAUACCAAGGCGCUUGAGAGAACUCGGGUGAAGGAACUAGGCAAAAUGGUGCCGUAACUUCGGGAGAAGGCAC
rnacentral:rRNA from 1 species